UCCGUUAGGUACCUGCGGAAGGAUCAUUACAGAGUUCAUGCCCGAAAGGGUAGACCUCCCACCCUUGUGUAUUAUUACUUUGUUGCUUUGGCGAGCUGCCUUCGGGCCUUGUAUGCUCGCCAGAGAAUACCAAAACUCUUUUUAUUAAUGUCGUCUGAGUACUAUAUAAUAGUUAAAACUUUCAACAACGGAUCUCUUGGUUCUGGCAUCGAUGAAGAACGCAGCGAAAUGCGAUAAGUAAUGUGAAUUGCAGAAUUCAGUGAAUCAUCGAAUCUUUGAACGCACAUUGCGCCCCUUGGUAUUCCGGGGGGCAUGCCUGUUCGAGCGUCAUUUCAACCCUCAAGCUUAGCUUGGUAUUGAGUCUAUGUCAGUAAUGGCAGGCUCUAAAAUCAGUGGCGGCGCCGCUGGGUCCUGAACGUAGUAAUAUCUCUCGUUACAGGUUCUCGGUGUGCUUCUGCCAAAACCCAAAUUUUUCUAUGGUUGACCUCGGAUCAGGUAGGAGCCCCAAU
rnacentral:rRNA from 1 species